rnacentral:lncRNA from 1 species
GGGACCUGGCGCUGCCGAGCAGUGAGGACUCAUUUCUGCACUGCGCGCUCCACGGAGCAGGUACCCGCGGCUCUGGGACGGCUCGGGCGCGUCCGCGGACUUAAGAUACUAUCAACUGCAUAAAAAGAGAGUCCUUCAAACAGAUGAUCCUUUUUCUAGAAAGAAGCUGAGCAUUGUGCUUAUCUGAUUUUGAGUGAAAACACAGAGGAAGACUGUUUUCAGCUGAGCUAUUGACAAUGCUACCACUGGUGAGUAGGGAAUUCUUUGUACUGAAAUUACCCAUGCGUUGUCAGCAGACGGGAAGGUU